UACGUAGGGUGCGAGCGUUAAUCGGAAUUACUGGGCGUAAAGCGUGCGCAGGCGGUUCGUGAUGUCUGGUGUGAAAGCCCCGGGCUUAACCUGGGAAUUGCAUUGGAAACUAGCGGGCUGGAGUGUGGCAGAGGGGGGGUGGAAUUCCACGUGUAGCAGUGAAAUGCGUAGAGAUGUGGAGGAACACCGGUGGCGAAGGCGGCAUCCUGGACCGAGAUUGACGCUGAGGCGCGAAAGCCAGGGGAGCAAACGGG
rnacentral:rRNA from 1 species